AAUAUAUAUAUUCAAGUACUAACUGGAUGUGAGGCAAUCUGGCUGCAACAUCUGUCAUCCCAUUGAUCACCAGGGUUGAUUUGGCUGAUCUGGCUGGCUAGAUGGGUGUUCCUUUCCUCCCUCACUGCUCCAUGUGUGUCCCUCCCAAAGCUUUGCGCUGUGUCGAAGAGGAGGACCAUAUCCAAUAGAGGAGGACCCAUCUUCGGUCAAGGGUAUAUGAAUAGCUGCACUCUCCUGCCAGAACCCCCAAACAAGUUCUCAAGUACUAACCUCCAGUACCUGUGAAUGUUGACCUUAUUUGGAAGUAGAAUCUUUGCAGAUGUAAUUAGUUUGUAUGAUGUCAUACUGAAUUAGGGUGGGCCAUUCAGGAGACAUAAACACACACAGAAGAAGGCCAUGUGACAAUGGAGGCAGAGAUUGGAAUGAGGCAGCUUCAUGCUAAGAAUACCAAGGAUUGCCACCAACCGCUAGAAACUACAAAGAUUCUUCUCUAGAGGCUCUGGAGGGUACAGAGCCCUGCCAACAUCUUGAUUUCAUACUUUUAGCCUCCAGAACUGUAAGAGAAUAUAUUUUUGUGGUUUUAAGCCACUAAGUUUGUGGUAAUUGGUGAUAACAGCCCUUGGAAAAUUAAUAUAUCAGGACGGACUGGGAGCCAGCUGGCUUCUCCCUGCAGAAUGGGGACUCUCUAGCCACUGUCAGGCAGGCACAGAUGAAGAAUGCAGGAGCCUGCCCUCCACCCACCACAUUCACACUGUCUUCCAGGUACAUGUUACAAAGCAAAAUGUUACGUUUAAGAAUAAGCCAAGGACACUUUAGGAUGGCGCUUGUUGACAAAAGAAAUGUGGUCAGUAUUGAAAAAAAUAUGACGCUUUUUUUUGUUUGUUUCACCUAAUUAAAGGCCAUACCUGAUUUAAAAAUACAAACAUAUAUUAAGGAUGAAUUUCUUAUCCUGGGUAUACUGAAGCUACCAUUUAAAUAUACAGGAAAGCACAGAAAGCACAGCUUUACUAUACUUGUUACAUUAAACAUGGCAUAUAUAUUUUUGUGUCAGAGAGAAUUUCCUUAGAUAAAGUCAUUUCUUAGUUGUUUCCUAACUUGAAUAAGUCCAAUUUAUGGGUUUUAAGAUUCAGAGCAAGACAAAUAGAACAAUAAAUUUCUCAAGAAAUUCUAAACACCCUUCAUUGUACCCUGUCGCUAAACCUAAAAUGCCCAGCGUGGAGCUUUGUCAUUUAUAUAUUUGUCUGAUGGCUCCAGAGGUAGUUUCCAUGGUAAGCUCCCUGUGCACAAGAAGAAGGGUGAGUGGAAUGUCUCCUGCCAAUGAAGAACUUUUCACUGACAGUGAUAAAGGCCAGGAACCUCCUUCACACAAAUGAUUGAAAAACAGAACACGGAGGACAUUUUUAUUUUGUUUUGUUUCCUUUGUGUGGUAUGUGACUUCAGUGCAAAUACCCAUUUAAUCAAGAAUACAAAGACAGCCACCUUUGCUGGGUAAGGGAU